rnacentral:rRNA from 1 species
UACGUAGGUGACAAGCGUUAUCCGGAAUUACUGGGCGUAAAGCGCACGCAGGCGGCGCAUUAAGUCUGACGUGAAAUCUCCCGGCUUAACUGGGAGGGGUCGUUGGAAACUGAUGUGCUUGAGGCGGUGAGAGGGGUGUAGAAUUCCCGGUGUAGUGGUGGAAUGCGUAGAUAUCGGGAGGAAUACCAGUGGCGAAAGCGGCACCCUGGCACUAGCCUGACGCUCAUGUGCGAAGGCGUGGGGAGCGAACGGGAUUAGAUACCCUCGUAGUCC